rnacentral:rRNA from 1 species
UACGAAGGGGGCUAGCGUUGCUCGGAAUUACUGGGCGUAAAGGGCGCGUAGGCGGGUCGUUUAGUUAGAGGUGAAAGCCCAGGGCUCAACUCCAGAACUGCCUUUGAUACUGGCGACCUUGAGUCCGGGAGAGGUGAGUGGAACUGCGAGUGUAGAGGUGAAAUUCGUAGAUAUUCGCAAGAACACCAGUGGCGAAGGCGGCUCACUGGCCCGGUACUGACGCUGAGGUGCGAAAGCGUGGGGAGCAAACAGG